UACGUAGGGUGCAGGCGUUAAUCGGAAUUACUGGGCGUAAAGCGUGCGCAGGCGGUUUGCUAAGACAGGUGUGAAAUCCCCCGGGCUUAACCUGGGAACUGCGCUUGUUACUGGCAAGCUGGAGUGUGGCAGAGGGGGGUGGAAUUCCGACGUGUAGCAGUGAAAUGCGUAGAGAUGUGGAGGAACACCGAUGGCGAAGGCAGCCCCCUGGGCUAACACUGACGCUCAGGCACGAAAGCGUGGGGAGCAAACAGG
rnacentral:rRNA from 1 species